UACGUAGGGUGCGAGCGUUGUCCGGAAUUAUUGGGCGUAAAGGGCUCGUAGGCGGUCUGUCGCGUCGGGAGUGAAAACUCAGGGCUUAACCCUGAGCCUGCUUCCGAUACGGGCAGACUAGAGGUAUGCAGGGGAGAACGGAAUUCCUGGUGUAGUGGUGAAAUGCGUAGAUAUCGGGAGGAACACCAGUGGCGAAGGCGGCUACCUGGCC
rnacentral:rRNA from 1 species